UGGGCAAGUCUUACACAACCAGCUCCUGAUGAAUCCCCCAGGGUGGGAACGCAGCAAGGGUAAUUAGUCGUAGCGGUGUGAUGUGAGUAGCUUGCCCACU
rnacentral:SRP_RNA from 1 species